UGUUCUUUGGCUUAGAUGGUUAAAGCGCCGGUCUAGCGAAUACGGAGUCGUGGGUUCGAAUCCCACCAGCACGC
rfam:Aedes albopictus isolate Foshan contig108454, whole genome shotgun sequence.